GUGACAUCUCGAGGAUACCGCGGUAUUGAUGACAAAGAUGGGGACUAGCAAUGCAAAAAAGCAAAGGUUAACAUUUGUGGCGAUGCACUGCCUGAAGGAAUUCCACAACCUAAUCCGACAACAUGACUAACAGCGCUAUGCGAGCGCUGUGAAAGGGUCUCUUUGAGCUACAAUAACUUCGGAACUAAUAUGAGUAGAUAUAGACUGAUAAACAUACAUUCGUUUUGAAGAAUAGUUCAAAUACUAUAAAUACAGUGCAAAUAAAACAUACUUAUACGACUGUCUGUUUUUACAGACACAACAAGCAAAAUAUUUUAUAUUAUCAUACAAUAGCCUUAGAUUAGCUUAAUCUAAGACGAUAGCUAACAAAAUUAUCUAUUAGUAGAAGUACGCUAGAAUAGCAAUGCGUUGGAUGACCCCAGAUAUAUAUUUAUUUAUUAUUAUGUAAUUAUUCAAUGUUACUUAGCUGUAUUGGCUAUGUUUUGCUUUCUGCAAAAAAAGGUAUUUUAAUGUUUUAAUAUAAUUACAGAUCAUCAGCAAUUGAUGGAAUUUUAUCGCAUCUA